AUUGAACGCUGGCGGCAGGCUUAACACAUGCAAGUCGAGCGGAGCGAGGGUGCUUGCACCUUAGCUUAGCGGCGGACGGGUGAGUAAUGCUUAGGAAUCUGCCUAUUAGUGGGGGACAACAUUCCGAAAGGGAUGCUAAUACCGCAUACGCCCUACGGGGAAAGCAGGGGAUCUUCGGACCUUGCGCUAAUAGAUGAGCCUAAGUCGGAUUAGCUAGUUGGUGGGGUAAAGGCCUACCAAGGCGACGAACUGUAGCGGGUCCGAGAGGAUGAUCCGCCACACUGGGACUGAGACACGGCCCAGACUCCUACGGGAGGCAGCAGUGGGGAAUAUUGGACAAUGGGCGGAAGCCUGAUCCAGCCAUGCCGCGUGUGUGAAGAAGGCCUUUUGGUUGUAAAGCACUUUAAGCGAGGAGGAGGCUACUAGUAUUAAUACUACUGGAUAGUGGACGUUACUCGCAGAAUAAGCACCGGCUAACUCUGUGCCAGCCGCCGCAGUAA
rnacentral:rRNA from 1 species